UAUUCAGUAGGAUUUUCUGCCCCUGCAUGCAGAAGUUCACAGUGCCAGCUCCUGCCUCAGAGACAAAGGCUUUGUCAUAACAGAGUAUUAAGAUCAGCGAUACAUUCUAUGAUUCAACAAUUAUACAGAACAUGCCUACUUGUAACAUGCUAUGCAGGCAGUACUCAAGAUAAUACACAGAGCUUGCCAUUAUUUUUCAGGUGACUUCAGAAAUGCCAUUUGAGCAGCCAGCACGAAAGGCUGCUGUGAGACACGUCGCGGUAAGGAUCAGACCGGCAAGCGAUUCUGGUAGUAUUGGGACUGUGGAGGGGGCGAGCGCUCGGGUGCCUUUAGGGUCUCUUCGGCUGUGGUGGGAGGCUGCAGGGCUCUCGGGUCCGGCGUAGGGCUGUCACCGGGCUCCGCCGGCAGUUUGCCGCCGAUGUAGCGUCGUCGCCCGGCUGCCGUCGCGUUUUCGGAGCGGGCCGCCGCUCCGUUCUCCGAGUCGUAGCGGGGUCCCGGGGCGCUUUCAGCCUUCAGCCCCCCGCCCCCCCCCCAGGGUUUUGUUGUGUGUUUUUCUUUAUUUUUAAGCGGGUGCUUCAGUUCUUCAAGUUCUCAUCGGUAGGAGCGAGCGGGACGGGGCCGUAUUCUUCCAGCCUCGGGGCGGCUGGGAGUAAGGAGUAACGCAGAAGGUUGCUGGAACAGGUUUUCUUCUAUUGCAGGCUGACCUGCGACUGCAUUAGAGCCUCUCGUCAGCCCGAAGCUUUGAGCUCGUGGAAACCGUGAGUGUUUGGGAGACCCGGUGAGGGCAACUUGCACGGCUGGAACGCUGUUGCGAAGAUGGCUCUAUUUCUUUUAGGAAACCUAGACCGUCCAGGUGGUGGAGCUGCCGUUGCAGCGAGAGAACGGGAACGUACUGAGCUCUGCCUAGGGACGAAUGAAGAACUAGCAGAGCGUUAGCAUGUGAGGCUCGAGGUGCAGGUAAAUGUGGGUAACAUCACUGGGGGGGGUGUUGGUUACAGGCGAGGAUGAGGAAGUUGAUAGGCCUUCUGCAUACAGCUGAAAGUAGCCUCACUGCUGUGGGCAUUAGUUCUCAUGGUAGACUUGUACCUCCCUGCUACCUGUUAGGAAAGCAAGGCUGUUAGGUGUGCUCAUUCCAGGAGGUUCUUGCAGUGUGUCAAAGGCAAAAAUCAUCUGACACAGGUGAUGGAGCCAUUGAAAAGUGGGGUGCUGCUGGAGCUUGCUCUCCCUGUUGCAUAAGGGUUGUUAUGUCUCUAGUAUUAUGUCUAUGUCUCUAGUCUCUAGUGUUUUCUUCUUCUUCUUCCUAGAACACUAGAGACAUAGUCUAUGUCUCUAGUGUUAUCACUAUGUCUCAUAGUGGUCCUAUGAGACUGGUGUUCAGGAUGC
rnacentral:lncRNA from 1 species